rnacentral:rRNA from 1 species
CCUACGGGUGGCUGCAGUGAGGAAUAUUGGUCAAUGGACGAGAGUCUGAACCAGCCAAGUAGCGUGAAGGAUGACUGCCCUAUGGGUUGUAAACUUCUUUUAUAUGGGAAUAAAAUGUUUCACGUGUGGGAUUUUGUAUGUACCAUAUGAAUAAGGAUCGGCUAACUCCGUGCCAGCAGCCGCGGUAAUACGGAGGAUCCGAGCGUUAUCCGGAUUUAUUGGGUUUAAAGGGUGCGUAGGGGGAUUGUUAAGUCAGUUGUGAAAGUUUGCGGCUCAACCGUAAAAUUGCAGUUGAAACUGGCAGUCUUGAGUACAGUAGAGGUGGGCGGAAUUCGUGGUGUAGCGGUGAAAUGCUUAGAUAUCACGAAGAACUCCGAUUGCGAAGGCAGUUCACUUGACUGCAACUGACACUGAGGCUCGAAAGUGUGGGUAUCAAACAGGAUUAGAUACCCGAGUAGUC